UUCAGCACUCUUGCAGCCCUUUCUUUUUGGCCUAACCACCAAAGUGCUUCUAUAAGAGUGUUGUAGAACCUCAUGCUCAAACCACAUCCUUCUGACUUGAGUUUAUCAAAGACAUAUUCAACCAUCUGCCAAUUAUUUUCAUCAUCAAAAUCUCCGUGAAUCAUUCGGCCAAUAAUUUGGUGCAUAUCAGAAGUCUUGUUUGUCAUCACGUCAUUCAAUAACUCACGGGCCAUAUCCCACCUCUCACUUUUUGCGUAAAUUGCCAGCAUCAUACAGCAGCAAAUGAUGCUAGGCUGAAUGCCCAGUGAUUUAAUUUCCUGAAACUGCUCUUCACUUUCGUCAACUAGGCCUGCAAAGCAAUAAACACUCAAAACUGCCUCAAGCGUCCGCUCAUCUGGAUCACAUCUUGCCUUUUCCAUCUCAACAUAAGCUUUUAUAGCUUCUUCGAACUGACCUCCCUG
rnacentral:misc_RNA from 1 species